rnacentral:rRNA from 1 species
AACUUUCAGCGACGGAUGUCU